UCGGGAAUUUUGGGCAAUGGGGGAAACCCUGACCCAGCAACGCCGCGUGAAGGAUGAAGUAUUUCGGUAUGUAAACUUCGAAAGAAUAGGAAGAAUAAAUGACGGUACUAUUUAUAAGGUCCGGCUAACUACGUGCCAGCAGCCGCGGUAAUACGUAGGGACCAAGCGUUGUUCGGAUUUACUGGGCGUAAAGGGCGCGUAGGCGGCAUGACAAGUCACUUGUGAAAUCUCUGGGCUUAACCCAGAACGGCCAAGUGAUACUGUCGCGCUAGAGUGCAGAAGGGGCAAUCGGAAUUCUUGGUGUAGCGGUGAAAUGCGUAGAUAUCAAGAGGAACACCUGAGGUGAAGACGGGUUGCUGGGUUGACACUGACGCUGAGGCGCGAAAGCCAGGGGAGCAAACGGGGAUUAGAUACCCAAGUAGUCCCUGAGCGGGCUGGCAAGGCGCAU
rnacentral:rRNA from 1 species